AUGGUACUCCUCCGUUCGGAAUUACUUGUCUCGAAAAUGGAUGUAUGUAGAACUAAAAUACAUCUAGAUACAUCCAUUUCUGCGACAAGUAAUUCCGAACGGAGGGAGUAGGUU
rnacentral:pre_miRNA from 1 species